GUUCAGUUGACGUAAUUGUUGUUGACAGUGUGGCUGCUCUUGUUCCUAAAGGGGAGCUUGAUGGUGAAAUGGGGGAUGCACACAUGGCAAUGCAGGCUAGGUUGAUGAGCCAGGCCCUUCGGAAAUUAAGCCACUCCUUGUCAGUUUCUCAAUGUAUAUUGAUUUUUAUAAACCAGGUAAGGUCAAAGCUUUCUACUUUUGGUGGAUUCGGUUGGCCCCAGGAAG